ACCGUCUUCUUAAAAAAAAAAAAAACUGACUUCACCGCCAUGACUUCUUCAACACCGCCUGCGGCGUCUAUGCCGUCGCCUGGUCCGAUUCUCCGUCAAGCUCUACAACCUUGCCAUCCCGCCGACCUGCAACCUCCUCCGCUCCCUCCACGAGCACAACUCGCGAGGUCAGCUCUGCUGACUACAAACCCACGCCCCGCGACUCGUUUCUCACCGUCUCGUGGGACGACACCGAGAAGCUCUGGACCGUUAACCGUCCCGCCUCCAUCAGCACCUUCGAGGAGCACGCCUACUGUGUCUACUCCGCCGUCUUUGGUGUGAAAGCUCGGAAGCUCGUGAAUUCCGAUUGUCAAUGGAGGCCUCCAAGACCUCCAGCAGUACAACCUUGAGGAAUGCUUUCGGUCCUAAAUCACAGAUAUUCACAAGUUUGAUCCUUAUUUCAAUUACAGAAUCACUCAGGUUGGGUUCGUUCUCUUGUUUGACAUCGGUUGGCAUCGAGUAACCUUCUAUUGAAUUAAGUCUGCUUGAAAGCUAGGAAGUUAUUAUCAUAUGGUGUAUCGGUUUAUCUUAUCAUAUUGCAGUGAUGCUAAGCUAUAUAGAAGAUGACAGUCUUGUUUGUUGGUUUCAGUUUCUGACGAAGAAUGGGAGCAUAUAACUUGCAUUCAAAUAUCUCAUAGCUACUGAUUUUGGCAUUUGAUAAUUCCAGGAAUUUUAACUUCUGUUUUGUAGUUGUGUUGGUAACUAAAGAUGCAGAUAAACUGUUUUUUUUCAUGCUUCUCAAUUUAGACAUCUAUUUUCUGAAUGUUGUAGUAACAUGUUGUUGGUGUUACUAUUUGUAGGUUGAUUCAACAAGAACUAUGACUGGUGACCUUUCUAUUUCUAAUCCAUUGCUGGUUAAACCUCUUCAACCAGUUGCUGCGCCAGUGGCUCUAGUAGCUCAAAAAUCUGAUGCACCUGAUCGUCUUAAUAAUUUAGUUGGCGCUGGGUAUCAAUCAUUUGAGAAUGUUGUUUUGAAGAAACUCGCACAGGUUUGAAUUUAAUUUAACUAAUUUUUAUUCUGCCUCAUCUAUAGAAUGCAAGUAGCGAUGAGACUUCGUAAAUUGAAGUAAAUAUACUUGUUUUUGUGUGAUGACCUCUUUGUUUUAGAAACCCAAGUUAGAUGUUUCUGUUAUACAAUUUUAAAUAUGUCUUCUUAAAGCAGAUAAAUAUCACCAAUUGGAUUUAUACGAUAUUAUACUUGCAUGUGGUAGUUGUGUCAACCAUUUUCCCCAGUUAUGUCAAAUUCUUGGAAAAUGAAAGUUAUAUGAAAUUUUACACUGGCCACAUUGAAUAGGAAACUACUUUUUAUCUUAUUGCCCAGUUUCUAGUAGAUCGAUUUUAAUCUUUUGUGGGUUGGGUACGCUAGGCUACCCAGAAGCAAAAGUAAUAUUCAGAACUUAAGUAGCACGAAGGGAUGGUUGAUCUCAAAAGAAAAGUUCAUGAUCUCAAUGGUUUCAGUGUAUAGGGGACGAUUACAAGAUUAAAGUUUGGAACUACAAGAUGCAUAGAUGUUUUUUUACUCUUCUCGGGCAUUUAGAUUAUAUUCGUCCCGUGCAAUCUCACUUUUUUUAUGCUUGAAGUUUUGUUGAAAGAUUUGUACAAUGAUGUAAGUUUUAUAAUGGUCUAUGCUACAUGUACUCUAUGCACUAUAGUCAUUCUCAUUAAGGUUUAUGAACCAUUCGUUUGAA